GGAUGUGUCUCAGUGGUAGAGUGCUUGCCUAGCAUGUACAAGGCCCUGGGUUCAAUUCCCAGUACCUCCA
rnacentral:tRNA from 1 species